ACCUAGCUGGCCCUGUCGGUAGAGUGUGUGACUCUUGAUCUUGGGGUUAUAAGUUCAAGUCCUAUGUUGGGUA
rnacentral:tRNA from 1 species